rnacentral:rRNA from 1 species
GAUCCUGGCUCAGGAUGAACGCUAGCUACAGGCUUAACACAUGCAAGUCGAGGGGCAGCAUGAACUUAGCUUGUCUAAGUUUGAUGGCGACCGGCGCACGGGUGAGUAACGCGUAUCCAACCUACCCCUUGUCCAUCGGAUAACCCGUCGAAAGGCGGCCUAACACGAUAUGCGGUUCACCGCAGGCAUCUAACGUGAACGAAAUGUUGAAGGAGAAGGAUGGGGAUGCGUCUGAUUAG